GAUGAACGCUGGCGGCGUGCCUAAUACAUGCAAGUCGAACGCUGAGGCGGGGGCUUUCUUCUCUGGACGAGUUGCGCACGGGUGAGUAACGCGUAUGUAACCUGCCUCUUAACGAGUGAGAACACUUGGAAACACCGGCUAUAACACCAUAUAAUAUAUUGUUCCGUAUGGUUUAAUAGAAAGAGACGGUUGUGCUGUUACCUAUAGAUCCUUCCGCGCCGCAUUAGCUAGUUGGGAGGGUAACGGCUUACCAAGGCGAGGAUGCGAAGCCGACCUGAGAGGGUGAUCGGCCACACGGGAACUGGAAAACGCUCAAGACUCCUACGGGAGGCAGAGUAGGGGAAUCUUGGGAAAUGGGCGAAGGCCUGACGGAGAAAGGCGGCGUGGGGGAGGAAGGUCUUCGGUUCGUAAGACUCGGUGAUUGGGGAGGAACAGUGGGGGAAGUGAAUGUGCACGUCGUGACGGUACCUAAUCAGAAAGCCACGGCUAACUACGUG
rnacentral:rRNA from 1 species